rnacentral:misc_RNA from 1 species
CUGCGAGUUCGCGGGAGAGUAAGUUAUUGCCAGGGUUUUUAUUUUAUACUUUAAACAUUGAUUUUAUUUUUUAUGUUUUUAGAUGUUCAUGUUUUUGAAUGUUUUAUUCGAAUAAUAUAAAAAAUAAAAUAUAUAUUGACAUGGAUUAAACAAAGAUAUAUAUUAUUCUAUGUUGUAUAAACAAAUUGGCAAAAUAGAGAUGGAAGAUAAAAAUAUGGUCAAAGUAAUAAGAGUCUAUGGUGAAUGCCUAGGA